UACGGAAGGCAGCAGUGGGGAAUAUUGCACAAUGGGCGAAAGCCUGAUGCAGCUAUGCCGCGUGUAUGAAGAAGGCCUUAGGGUUGUAAAGUACUUUCAUCGGGGAGGAAAAACAAAACUAAUAAUUUUAUUUCUUGACGUUACCCGAAAAAGAAGCACCGGCUAACUCCGUGCCAGCAGCCGCGGUAAUACGGAGGGUGCUAGCGUUAAUCAGAAUUACUGGGCGUAAAGAGCACGUAGGUGGUUUUUUUAAGCCAGAUGUGAAAUCCCUGGGCUUAACCUAGGAACUGCAUUUUGAAACUGAAAUACUAGAGUAUCGUAGAGGGAGGUAGAAUUCUAGGUGUAGCGGUGAAAUGCGUAGAUAUCUGGAGGAAUACCUGUGGCGAAAGCGGCCUCCUAAACGAAUACUGACACUGAGGGUGCGAAAGCGUGGGGAGCAAACAGGGAUUAGAUACC
rnacentral:rRNA from 1 species